rnacentral:rRNA from 1 species
GACGAACGCUGGCGGCGUGCUUAACACAUGCAAGUCGAGCGAGGUCCAACCGGUGGCAACACCGGGGAAGACCUAGCGGCGAACGGGUGAGUAACACGUGGGUGACCUGCCCUCAGCUCUGGGAUAAGCCCGGGAAACUGGGUCUAAUACCGGAUAUGACUCCAUGACGCAUGUUGUGGGGUGGAAAGCCUUGUGCGGCUGAGGAUGGGCCCGCGGCCUAUCAGCUUGUUGGUGGGGUGAUGGCCUACCAAGGCGACGACGGGUAGCCGGCCUGAGAGGGCGACCGGCCACACUGGGACUGAGACACGGCCCAGACUCCUACGGGAGGCAGCAGUGGGGAAUCUUGCGCAAUGGGCGAAAGCCUGACGCAGCGACGCCGCGUGAGGGAUGACGGCCUUCGGGUUGUAAACCGUCUUUCUAGCUCCGACGAAGCGAGAGUGACGGUAGGAGCAGAAGAAG